rnacentral:rRNA from 1 species
GACGUAGGGGGCAAGCGUUAUCCGGAUUCACUGGGCGUAAAGGGCGCGUAGGCGGCUACGGAAGUCCGGCGUGAAAUCCCAGGGCUCAACCCUGGAACUGCGUCGGAUACUCCGUUGGCUAGAGGAUGGUAGAGGCUCGGGGAACUAGCGGUGUAGCGGUGAAAUGCGCAGAUAUCGCUAGGAACGCCGGUGGCGAAGGCGCCGGGCUGGGCCAUUCCUGACGCUGAGGCGCGAAAGCUAGGGGAGCGAACCGGAUUAGAAACCCCAGUAGUCC